rnacentral:rRNA from 1 species
AUUGAACGCUGGCGGCAUGCCUUACACAUGCAAGUCGAACGGUAACGCGGGGCAACCUGGCGACGAGUGGCGAACGGGUGAGUAAUGCAUCGGAACGUGCCCAGUAGUGGGGGAUAGCCCGGCGAAAGCCGGAUUAAUACCGCAUACGACCUACGGGUGAAAGCGGGGGACCGUAAGGCCUCGCGCUAUUGGAGCGGCCGAUGUCAGAUUAGGUUGUUGGUGGGGUAAAAGCCUACCAAGCCGACGAUCUGUAGCUGGUCUGAGAGGACGACCAGCCACACUGGGACUGAUACACGGCCCAGACUCCUACGGGAGGCAGCAUUGGGGAAUUUUGUACGAUGGGGGCAACCCUGAUCCAGCCAUGCCGCGUGCGGGAAGAAGGCCUUCGGGUUGUAAACCGCUUUUGUCAGGGAAGAAACGCUCUGGGCUAAUACCCCGGGGUAAUGACGGUACCUGAAGAAUAAGCACCGGCUAACUACGUGCCAGCAGCCGCCGCGG